AAAGCUUUCAGACAUUCACCAUCUCCACCUACAUGUUCAAUUAGUGAUAUUGCUAGUAUAGCAGCAACAGAUGAGGCAUCUCACAAUUUCACUCAAUCUGUGGCAAUACAAGUGGACCCCAUUGUUACUAGAUCAGUAAAAGUGCAAACAGUCAAAGUUAAAUCUUCAGUAGUAAAUAGAGUUUCAGUUGGCACACAGACUAGCAGCUGCAUUCUGUCAUCAGAUGCAGAAGUACAAUGUGACUUAUUAUCUUCCGAGUUGCCUAUAACCAGCAGUACUGAUGAUAGCAAUGCUUAUGAAUGUCAAGA